CCCUUAGAUGUUCUGGGCCGCGCGCGCGCUACACUGACUGGUGCAACAAGUGUCGCUCCUUGGCCGAUAGGCCUGGGCAAUCUUUGAACGCCAGUCGUGAUGGGGAUAGAUUCUUGCAAUUUUUGAUCUUCAACGAGGAAUUCCUAGUAAACGCGAGUCAUCAACUCGCAUUGAUUACGUCCCUGCCCUUUGUACACACCGCCCGUCGCACCUACCGAUUGAAUGGUCCGGUGAACCCUCCGGAUCGGCCCGCGCCAACGCAAGUUGAGCAAAGGCCGAGAAGUUGGGUAAACCUUACCAUUUAGAGGAAAGUGAAGUCGUANCA
rnacentral:rRNA from 1 species